rnacentral:rRNA from 1 species
GCUCGAAAGAGUGAACGAGCUAACUGAAAGAAUAAAUCAUCUAACGUAAGGACAGGGCUUAAACGCCCAGUAGUACUAUUAUUCAAUAGCUAAUAUACUUAAGUGUUAAGUAGCUAUCUGAGGAGAAGUACUCUGAUUAAUCAACCUUACUAAUAGUGUCGUCCAAAAUCUGGUGCCAGAAGACUCGGUAACACCAGAGACGCGAACGUUAAUCAUCUUGAAUGGGCAUAAAGGGUUUGUAGGCAGCUUUAAGUUAAAAUUAAUUCAAUUUAAAUUCAAAGGAAAUAGCUUUAUUCUUAUUCUUUUAAAUCUAAAGUCGAAUAAAAUUUAACAUCAAUAAUUAAAGAUAGAAUCUAAUAGAGGUUAAGGAAAUACUUAGUGGAGGGGUUAAAUCCUAAGAUACUAAGUGGAAAACUAGAAGCGAAGGCUCUUAUCCUUAAAAGAUUGACGCUGAGAAACGAAGGUUGGGAUAGGAAAUAGGAUUAGAGACCCUAGUACCCCCUACUGUAAACGAUGAAUGGUAGUUGUUUACCCUCUUGGAGUAAGUGACGAAGUGAACUACGAUAACCAUUCCGCCUUGCUAGUAUACUUGCAAAAGUGAAAACAAAAAAAUUAGUCGGUCCUAAAGCAAACG